CACAAACUUAAAACUGAAAAAACAAACAUACACAACAUACAACAAUGACACAGGAGCUUGAUAUUAUUGCUCCCCCACUAUGCCCACCCAUCCUUGAGCCUUUAGUCCAUAUACACACAAAAAAUUUAAAAGGGCCCCAAAAAGCCACACACACUCUCUUACUUACAACGCCUCUCUCUCUCUCUCACAACAAAAUUUAGCACAACAUAUUAUUCUUGAAACAAUUAGACAUUAAACUUAUUUAUUUUAAACAUCAUUGUUCUCUUAAAACUAAUUUCGACAUGAACACAUAAAAAUAAAACUGGGCUUUUAAUACCGGAACGAAAAAAUUUGUGAGUCAAUACUCAGAUUACUUUUUUCAUUACACCGCUAAGAGCGCCAAAUUUUGGUCAAUAAAACUACUCUAAAGUACUAUUUAUCUAACUACAAACAAUACAUUCAUCUUAUAUACUAAACUAUACAAUAACAAAAAAAAAAUUUAAAUAGUUUUCUUUCUUUCUUUUGGUUAAAUGCCGAUAAUCUUCGACAAGGAAAAGGAACUUAAUAUGACUCUUUUAGCGGGAUUUAGCUUUCAUUCUUUGGGCUUUGAUUUUGAUAUAUGUGGGAUCUACUGUUAUCUUCCCGGAUCGGUACUGUCGCCUGUGCUAAAUUUUUCCACUGGCCGUUUCCCAGCUGAUUCCAGGUCUUCUAGCAGUUUCCAGGACCUUUUCUGUGCAUGGAACUUCAGUGCCUCACUUGGCGAUCUAACCAGUUCUUUAAAACUAUGUUUUCAAUAAAAAAGGUAUAUUUCGCGUAAGCAUGAAAUUCAGAAAUCUUUGGUUCGCGUUAGCCGGUGUAGGAUAUAGCCAGAGGAGAAAUCUCAAGCCCCGGCCGAAGACCGGCUUUUUACAAAAAGUGUCAAAUUUAGAAAACUUUGGUUCGCGUUAGCCGGUGUAGGACAUACACAGAGGAGAAAAUCUCAAGCCCCGGUCAAAGGCCGGCUACUUACAAAAAGUGUCAAGUUUAGAAAACUUUAGUUCGCGUUAGCCGGUGUGGGACAUACCCAGAGGAGAAAAUCUCAAGCCCCGGUCAAAGGCCGGCUACUUACAAAAGGUAUCCAAUUUAGAAAACUUUGGUUCGCGUUAGCCGGUGUGGGACAUACCCAGAGGAGAAAAUCUCAAGCCCCGGCCGAAGGUCGGCUUUUUACAAAAAGUGUCAAAUUUAGAAAACUUUGGUUCGCGUUAGCCGGUGUGGGCCAUACCCAGAGGAGAAAAUCUCAAGCCCCGGUCAAAGGCUGGCUACUUACAAAAGGUAUCCAAUUUAGAAAACUUUGGUUCGCGUUAGCCGGUGUGGGACAUACCCAGAGGAGAAAAUCUCAAGCCCCGGUCAAAGGCCGGCUACUUACAAAAGGUAUCCAAUUUAGAAACCUUUUGUUCGCGUUAGCCGGUGUCGGACAUACCCAGAGGAGAAAAUCUCAAGCCCCGGCCGAAGGCCGGCUAUUUACAAAAAGUGCCAAAUUUAGAAAACUUUUGUUAUUCCGACGACUGCUACGCGACAUAAACCACUUUUUUAUUGAAAACAUCAUUUUAAUGAACUGGUUAGAAUCGGGUUAUGCGGAUGGAAAGACCCAUAUCUCUGGACCCGGAAACGGUAUAAGCACAAAUUGUAACAUUUUGGAAAGGUGGGAUCUACUGUAAGCUUCCUGGAUCGGUACUGUCGCCUGUGUUACAAUUUUUCACUGUCCGUUUCCCAGCUGUUUCCAGGUCUUCUGUCAGUUUCCAGGACCUUUUCUGUGCCUGGUACCUCGGUGCCUCACUUGGCGAUUCAAAAAACGAUUGUUGGGGAUGCCCGUUCUUUUCUCGUUAAGUCGGAUGGCAUUGUCAAAUUGUGGAUUUAUGCGCGGCGUUAUUUCCCUAAAUAAAACACACAAACUUAACACAACAUAUCCGACAUAACGCCACUUACAAAUCAACACUUACAGAUUGUUUAGAUUCACCACAAAAAUAAAACAAUAAAACACACGAAUUGUAAAUGCCAACUUUGUAUUUCCUUAUUUUAUUUUUCUUCAAAAAAAAAAAAAAAAACAUUUUAAAAUUGGCUGAACUGUUUUUUCUGUUCCACACUACUUUUAAAUAAUGGCGCUUUUAGCCCUCCCUGUUCUUUAAACUUUCCCUUUUUUCGAGAUUUUCCCACAAUUUCCCUGACAUUUAUUAUAUACCUUUAUCAGGUGUUCUACCUACCCACUUUUAUCCCCAAUUUUGUAUUUUUGCCACACGUCUCUCGUGUUGUACAAAAAACAACAUGAAACUUGGCAUCACUUUUUCAAAUUUCUCUUUUUUUCUCUUCUCUUUUUUCGGUUCUCUUUUUUGGCUGGCGUUCAGCACGUUCGGUGCAUUAAAUUGCACAUUCUAAAAAUGCAGACUAGGAAUGAAUGCAACAAAACUUCACCACUUUAGUAAAAAGAAAGUUGUGAUGUGCGUGAAUCCUUACAUCCAGUCGUAGAGGGAAUAUAAUAUUGUGGAGCCAAGUAAGUUUUUUUCUUCUUUUACCACCACGUGACCAAAAAAAAAAUUCUGAUGUCUCAUUUUUUCUUUCCGGAUAAAGACGAAUCAAAAAAUUACCUGAUUUAUUUUCAUUCUUGGGAGUGUCAUGCUGCAUCUUCGACAAGGAAAAAGGAACUUAAUAUGAUUCUUUUAGCGGGAUUUGGCUUUCCUUCCUUGGGUUUUGCUUUUGAUAUAGGUGGGAUCUACUGUUAGCUUCCCGGAUCGGUACGGUCGCCCGUUUUACAAUUUUUCACUGGCCGUUUCCCAGCUGUUUCCAGGUCUUCUGGCAGUUUCCAGGACCUUUUCUGUGCAUGGAAACUCGGUGCCGCACCUGGCGAUUCAAAAAACGAUUGUAGGGGAUGCCCGCUCUUUUCUCGUUUAAGUCGGAUGGCGUUGUCAAAUUGUAGAUUUAUGCGCGGCGUUAUUUCGCUAAAUAAAACACAAACUAAACACAACAUAUCCGACAUAACACCACUUACAAAUCAACACUUACAGAUUGUUUAGAUACGCCACACAAAUGAAACUCACGAAUAGUAAUUGCCAACUGAGUAUUUAUUACAACAACAAGACUUCACCACUUUAGUAAAAAAUUAAAGAAAGUGAUAAGUAGA